GAUGAAGAACGCAGCGAAAUGCGAUACGUAAUGUGAAUUGCAGAAUUCAGUGAAUCAUCGAAUCUUUGAACGCACAUUGCGCCCGCCAGCACUCUGGCGGGCAUGCCUGUUCGAGCGUCAUUUCAACCAUCAAGCCCCAGCGCUUGUGUUGGGGGCCUGCGGCUGCCGCAGCCCCCUAAAAGCAGUGGCGGGCUCGCUAUCACACCGAGUGCAGUAGUUCAUCUUCUCUCCGGUCUUGUGAGGCGGGUUCCGGCCGUGAAACACCCCACUACAUUCAAGGUUGACCUCGGAUCAGGUAGGAAUACCCGCUGAACUUAAGCAUAUCAAUAAGCGGAGGA
rnacentral:misc_RNA from 1 species